GCGGGUGUGGUGUAGUUUGGUAACACAAAGCCCUGCCACGGCUUAGCCCCGGGUUCAAAUCCCGGCACCCGCA
rnacentral:tRNA from 2 species